AUGCACGCUGGCGGCGUGCCUCAUCCAUGCAAGUCGCGCGAACAGACGAGGAGCUUGCUCCUCUGACGUUAGCGGCGGACGGGUGAGUAACACGUGGAUAACCUACCUAUAAGACUGGGAUAACUUCGGGAAACCGGAGCUAAUACCAGAUAAUAUAUUGAACCGCAUGGUUCAAUAGUGAAAGACGGUUUUGCUGUCACUUAUAGAUGGAUCCGCGCCGCAUUAGCUAGUUGGUAAGGUAACGGCUUACCAAGGCAACGAUGCGUAGCCGACCUGAGAGGGUGAUCGGCCACACUGGAACUGAGACACGGUCCAGACUCCUACGGGAGGCAGCAGUAGGGAAUCUUCCGCAAUGGGCGAAAGCCUGACGGAGCAACGCCGCGUGAGUGAUGAAGGUCUUCGGAUCGUAAAACUCUGUUAUUAGGGAAGAACAAAUGUGUAAGUAACUAUGCACGUCUUGACGGUACCUAAUCAGAAAGCCACGGCUAACUACGUG
rnacentral:rRNA from 1 species